rnacentral:lncRNA from 1 species
UGAUGCAAUGAGAAGCAGAAUUGUACCAAUUAAAUAAUGGAGAAAUUCCGCAAGUGGCCAGCUGACACAAGUGAGUGUCCUGUAGAUUCUCAAAAUGUGGAUAAUGUAGAAGAACAAAAUCAUAACGAAGUCGCACAUGGUAACAAUCUGAAAGUAGCUGUAUGCACUGUAAUCUGUCCACUGAGAAUUAUUUACACUGAUGAAUCCAACCAGCAAUGAGAUCAUCUGGGCCACCUUCAGCAUGCCGGAGCACGAGCGGAAAUAGGCGCCGUCCACCAGCUCCGCGUCCGAGCCCGCUGAGGAGGCGGCGGCCGACGGCGGCGCGGCGGGCCCCGCGCUGCUCACCCCGGUGCGGAUCACUCGCGCCCCGUGAGACAUGGCUCUGUCCUGCUGCUCCGCUGCUCUGCUGCGGCCCGGACCGGGAGAAGGGGUACAGG